rnacentral:rRNA from 1 species
UACAGAGGUCCCAAGCGUUGUUCGGAUUCACUGGGCGUAAAGGGUGCGUAGGCGGUCGGGUAAGUCUGAUGUGAAAUCUCACAGCUUAACUGUGAAACUGCAUUGGAUACUAUCCGGCUAGAGGAAUGGAGGGGAGACUGGAAUACUUGGUGUAGCAGUGAAAUGCGUAGAUAUCAGGAGGAACACCUGUGGUGUAGACAGCUUACUGGACCACUUCUGACGCUGAGACACGAAAGCGUGGGUAGCAAACAGG